GUUCAGUUGUGACAUCAAUGUCCUGAAGCUGAAGAAGUGGGAGAAAGUACCAUUUCUACUGGUGUAUCUGCUCGCUCGCAGACUGGAUGUUGACAGAGGUAUUAUCAACAGCACGAACACUGUCAAUCAUUUCUUACCCAGGCUGAGUUGACAUGCUGACCCCAUCGUCUUUGAGGCUUGUGGAUGUCUUCAUCUUGUCAUGACUCUACCAUCUGGAGAUCGUGCUGUGCCAAGGCGGGGUAGGAACAAAUCAAAGGAAACUUAACUGAAGCGAUUUAUAAAUUUAUUAGCAUUUUUUUCUUUGGUCUUAGCUUAUUUUUGUUGGCUCCACAACAGACAAAAAUUACCAUCUUAAAGAGACCCUUGCUUGACUGGUAACCUUAAAGGAACUUUCAAAGGAGGGAAAGAACACAGAAGAUUAAUUACCUGAUAUUUUCUCUAUUAAACUUUUUUUUUGUUAAUUGGUAAUAACUUGAUUUAUUAAUAACUUGUUUAAGUCAAACAGGAAAAGUUUGAGUUAAGGAAAAAGGAAAAUCUAGCAGAGAAAUUACAGUAAACUAAAGGCAUUCAUAAAUAUAUAUAUAUAUUAUGUGAGCGGCUGUGUGUGUUUUUAUGUGCUGGAGGUCCUAUUGCCCCUACGCAGAGUAUGCCACCACUAAUAUUCUUAGAGAACCUUGUUGAAUUUAGAGAACGUGAGAACAAAUAAUGCUUUAGAUACUUAUUCCCAAUGAGCUGAAGAGAUUCCCUCCAGUUAAAUGUUACAAAAGUGUUUUAGUAACUAACUGUAAAAUAACAAACCAAACUCUUAACAGCUCUGACCCCCCACUUU